rnacentral:rRNA from 1 species
UACGUAGGUCCCGAGCGUUGCGCGAAUUCACUGGGCGUAAAGAGCUCGUAGGCGGUUUGUCACGUCUGCUGUGAAAACCCGAGGCUCAACCUCGGGCUUGCAGUGGGUACGGGCAGACUAGAGUGCGGUAGGGGAGAUUGGAAUUCCUGGUGUAGCGGUGGAAUGCGCAGAUAUCAGGAGGAACACCGAUGGCGAAGGCAGGUCUCUGGGCAUUAACUGACGCUGAGGAGCGAAAGCAUGGGGAGCGAACAGG